rnacentral:rRNA from 1 species
UACGUAGGGUGCAAGCGUUGUCCGGAAUUACUGGGCGUAAAGCGCACGUAGGCGGCGAUUCAAGUCAGAGGUGAAAGCCCGGGGCUCAACCCCGGAACUGCCUUUGAAACUAGAUUGCUAGAAUCUUGGAGAGGUCAGUGGAAUUCCGAGUGUAGAGGUGAAAUUCGUAGAUAUUCGGAAGAACACCAGUGGCGAAGGCGACUGACUGGACAAGUAUUGACGCUGAGGUGCGAAAGCGUGGGGAGCAAACAGGG